GUAGUCUGCAACCCGACUACAUGAAGCUGGAAUCGCUAGUAAUCGCGGAUCAGCAUGCCGCGGUGAAUACGUUCCCGGGUCUUGUACACACCGCCCGUCACACCAUGGGAGUCGGGAAUGCCCGAAGCCGGUGGCCCGAUCGAGAGAAGGGAGCCGUCGAAGGCAGGCCGGAUGACUGGGGUGAAGUCGUAACAAGGUAGC
rnacentral:rRNA from 1 species